AAAAAAAAAAAAAAACAAAAGUGGAGGCAUCGGAUGGGACCUAUUAGUUUUGCAAGAGUACACGUGGCAUUGUGUGCAACUAACGAGAACUACGAGGAACCAUCACAGUCACAAAUGUUUGUUGCAACUCGUACAAAGACGGGAAAGCUAGUUCAUGAAGAUGCCCAAAUUGCAAUAUCUGAACUUCAGAACCGUCGAAACUCUGGGGAAACAGCGGAUGAAGCAUUUAGGGCGGUAUUUGGAAAGGAGUAGCCAGGCUGAGUACGAUGCUAUGGUAGAUCAGUGACAUAAAGUUCUCUGAAAAAAGAUAAGAAUAUCAACAAGCUCCAGCAAAAGCAUAACAGUGAAGUCUCUACUAUGAAAGAAGAAAUGAAAGAAAUGAGAGAAGAAAGGCAAGAAUUGAGGCAAUUGCGACAUUACUUUAGUUUGUUGGUGCAAAAUAACCCUGGACUAAAUGUUCAAGAUAUCCUCGGUUUUGUCGGAUCUAACCAACCUUCUCCAGUUGAUG